GAUGAAGAACGUAGCGAAAUGCGAUAAGUAAUGUGAAUUGCAGAAUUCAGUGAAUCAUCGAAUCUUUGAACGCACAUUGCGCCCGCCAGUAUUCUGGCGGGCAUGCCUGUUCGAGCGUCAUUACAACCCUCAGGCCCCCGGGCCUGGCGUUGGGGAUCGGCGGAGCCCCCCGUGGGCACACGCCGUCCCCCAAAUGCAGUGGCGGUCCCGCCGCAGCUUCCAUCGCGUAGUAGCUAACACCUCGCGACUGGAGAGCGGCGCGGCCACGCCGUAAAACACCCAACUCUUCUGAAGUUGACCUCGAAUCUGGUAGGAAUACCCGCUGAACUUAAGCAUAUCAAUAAGCGGAGGA
rnacentral:misc_RNA from 1 species